GUCACCACCCCACCAAAUGCCACAGUGGCUCCUCCACAGCCGCCCGCAACCCUUUCCCCUUUUCCCCAGCUCCUCCUCCAUCCUCUUGUGCCCCCCUCCCACAUCUCAUCCACCCCCUCAUCUCUGACCGGGUCCGUGACAUGCGGGACGGAGGCGAGCUUCUCCAGCGUCGGCGACCUGCAGGCGAAGGGCGAGGGCGUCGGCGCUUGAUUUGAGGCAGCAUCAUGGAUCGGUCCCUGCUAAGCCACGAGAUUGCUGGACUGCCACCAUCCCUCCUGCACUGUGCGUUGCCUCCUGCGAGUGUCACCUUGCCCCACUAGCUUCCAGCGCCAUGGAUCCUCCAGAGAUGGAGGGCAACAAGUGAGAGGGAGUAGGAGAACAGGUGAAUCGAGGGAGUGAAAGAAGGAGCUCACACGGGAAGGGGAAGAGGGAGUCUGGCGGCGUAUCCUCAUCUCAUCCCUGGCUGUAGAUCUUUUGACGCCAUGGCACCAGUGGUAGCUCCUCGAUGGAGCGCCUCCUCCCAUGACGGCACGACCAGCCGCUCUGGCUCGACGCCACGAUACACAACGAGGUAGGCUCCACUGCCUUUCUCCUCUCUCCCAUGUGAUUUGUUCUCUGUUGAUUUCCCCUCUUGCCUAUUCUAAUUCGCGGUCAAAACAAUGGCGGAUUUCUUCAUUGUUGAUCUGAUUUGGGGCAGAUUUUCCUCUAGAUUCCUUCCUUUUACAGUUCCUUUUUGACUUGUUGUUCAUCACGUCGAUGGCUUCCACCGAGCAGAGGCCCUCUUCAUCUCGGCAGAGGAGAAGAACGGCCAGGAGCUGGCGGCCUGCUACCCUAUGCCAAUGGAUGCGCCUCCCAGAUGGCUAGCAAUGCCAGAUCGAAAGGGCUCUAUGGUAGGUUUGGUUUAUUCACCACCCCAUGAAGUAUUGUUCUUUCUGUAAUUUAUUUAUGUAGAUUUAACCUCAGACCUCAUAGAGGUAGUCAUCUUGGAUUACUUUGAAGUAUUGUUAUUGGUCACAUGUUUAUUAGGUUUAAAUGCCACUAUUCUGCAUGGGUUGUUACUAACACAAAUUGUGUUGUGAUUAGGCACCAAUCCUAUUAUUGAAGCCACUGGAUAGUUGCCGUUAGCUGUAAUGUGAUUAGCUACCAAUCCUAUUAUUGAAGCUAUUAUGGUAUAUGUUGCUGCUACAUAAAUAUACUUUUAUGUGAUCAUGAAAUUGCAUUCAGUUUUAGUAUUCUCUGGUGCUGGAAGAGCUAACAUGUAUCAAGCUAGGAGUACAAUUCCUUUUUGUAAAUCUGGCUAAUGCUGACAAUGGACAUGCUUUGAUGUUUUUCUUUUCUCAUACCGUUAGGCAGAUUGAGAAGCUGAUCCGAGCGAAGCAAUGAUGUUUGGUGUUCUUCUGCUGGAGCUGAUCACCAGGAGAACAAUCUAUGAUGCUUCGAGGCCUAAACCAGAGCAGAGCUUGCUAACAUGGAAAACUACUACGGAUGCUGAUCCAUCACAAUAUUGACCAUUAACUUUGUGCUCAUCUCCGAGGUUAUUUUGCGUAUAGCCAUUUGCUUCUCUGGCAUUUCCUUGAAGCUGCCAUUGCAAGAGGAAACAGAAGGAUAUCUUCGUGAUCAGCACAUUGGUGUCUAAGGCUACUUGUUGUGUCACUACGCCCGGCAAGUGCGUGAAUAACAUGGAUAGAUCAAUACAGAUAGGUUAAUUACCGACUAUCAUAGCUAAAAGUUCUAAAAAAUCAUCUGAAGUGAUGUUCUUUUGGUUUUCCGUUCAAAUAUCAUUGAUCCUUGUGCCUGCCGAAUCUCUAAUUUAACACAUGUUGGCAGUCUGACAAAUAGUAAGACACUUCUGGUGGUGCUAAUUAACUCGUCUGAGCCUGAAUGAUAAAGAAAUAUUUUUUUAUCAA